rnacentral:misc_RNA from 1 species
GAUGAAGAACGUAGCGAAAUGCGAUAAGUAAUGUGAAUUGCAGAAUUCAGUGAAUCAUCGAAUCUUUGAACGCACAUUGCGCCCGCCAGUAUUCUGGCGGGCAUGCCUGUUCGAGCGUCAUUUCAACCAUCAAGCCCCCGGGCUUGUGUUGGGGACCUGCGGCUGCCCGCAGGCCCUGAAAACCAGUGGCGGGCUCGCUGUCACACCGAGCGUAGUAGCAAUCACCUCGCUCAGGGCGUGCUGCGGGUUCCGGCCGUUAAACAGCCUUACAAAACCCAAGGUUGACCUCGGAUCAGGUAGGAAGACCCGCUGAACUUAAGCAUAUCAAUAAGCGGAGGA